UUGUAAAGAAAUUUCAUUGGGGAGGAAGGGACGUGUGAUGUAUCUAUGCGCGUUUUGACGGUACCUGAUGAGGAAGCAACGGCUAACUACGUGCCAGCAGCCGCGGUAAUACGGAGGGGGCAAGCGUUAUUCGGAAUUAUUGGGCGUAAAGCGCGCGUAGGNGGUUUGUUAAGUNUGAUGUGAAAGCCCGGGCUCAACCGGGGAGGUGCAUUGGAUAACUGGAAAGNUUGAGUGCNGAAGAGGGGGGUGGAAUUNNAGGUGUAGNGGUGAAAUGNGNAGAGAUNUGGAGG
rnacentral:rRNA from 1 species